rnacentral:rRNA from 1 species
UACGGAGGGUGCAAGCGUUAUCCGGAUUUACUGGGCUUAAAGGGUGUGUAGGCGGGUUUUUAAGUCAGCGGUGAAAUCUCCGGGCUCAACCCGGAAACUGCCAUUGAUACUAUUAGUCUUGAAUUUUGUUGAGGUAGGCGGAAUAAGUCAUGUAGCGGUGAAAUGCAUAGAUAUGACUUAGAACACCAAUUGCGAAGGCAGCUUGCUAAGCAAAUAUUGACGCUGAGGCACGAAAGCGUGGGGAGCAAACAGG